UCAGGGGCCGCUAGCUACGUGUCUGCCUGGCAAUCACCCUCAACAGCCCUGCUUUGGUCUUAACAAUCAGCCCAGAGUGUUCGCUGUGCAGCGCAUGGUGAAGCCAGGAGGGGACACACCUUGCUAACAUGAACAGAAUAAACCGAGACAAAGCCCAGAUGGUCCCGGACACAGGUCAAGGCUCUGGCACCUGGCGCGAUGCUGAGAUGCUGUGUGUGGCUUCUGGGUGACGAUCCUGUUUGGGUUCCAUCUCAUUCCACCCCCUGGAAGAAGACUCAUGGGAGCUUCUCCUGUAAAGGAUGUGUUCUGAAACGUGUACGUGUGAUAGAUUUUUCUG